UACGGAAGGCAGCAGGGGGAAUAUUGCACAAUGGGCGAAAGCCUGAUGCAGCUAUGCCGCGUGUAUGAAGAAGGCCUUAGGGUUGUAAAGUACUUUCAUCGGGGAGGAAAAAACAAAACUAAUAAUUUUAUUUCUUGACGUUACCCGAAAAAGAAGCACCGGCUAACUCCGUGCCAGCAGCCGCGGUAAUACGGAGGGUGCUAGCGUUAAUCAGAAUUACUGGGCGUAAAGAGCACGUAGGUGGUUUUUUAAAGUCAGAUGUGAAAUCCCUGGGCUUUAACCUAGGAACUGCAUUUUGAAACUGAAAUACUAGAGUAUCGUAGAGGGAGGUAGAAUUCUAGGUGUAGCGGUGAAAUGCGUAGAUAUCUGGAGGAAUACCUGUGGCGAAAGCGGCCUCCUAAACGAAUACUGACACUGAGGGUGCGAAAGCGUGGGGAGCAAACAGGGAUUAGAU
rnacentral:rRNA from 1 species